rnacentral:lncRNA from 1 species
GGCGGUGGCGCCCAGGCACCAGUGAGCACCUGAGUGCCCUCCAGCUUGCCCCGGGCUAGGUGUUUGGCCUCUGAAAGACCCCUUGUUGGAGACAGCUGUCAGGCCCCGGAAACCCCGCUCGUCCAGCAGGCGCUGGCUUCCUGCGUCAGUCUCCUGUGAGGCCCGCUCCAUGGAGCUGUGGACAAGACGGAACGUUUCUCCGGAGGCAAGGCUGGGGUCUAGCACCAGGCCACGGCUAUCACCCUUCCUCAGGGCCAGGGCCACUUGUGAGCCCCCCUUCCCUGCACCUCCGGGGUCUACUCCCCGUGCUGUCUCAGUGGAGGCGAGGCGGAUGGGCGGCUUGAAGGAGGCUGCCUCUGACAUCGAGUCACCAGCACCAGGCCUCAAAGCAAUGGAGCCAGCCAGCAAUGGACUGAAACCUCUGAAACCAUGAGCCUGAAUGAACCCUUUUCUCAUGCUGAGUUGAUGAUCUCAAGUAUUUUGUCACAGCAACAGCAAAAACAUCUGGCAUUUGGAAGACGCUGAAACGCUUCUUC